rnacentral:rRNA from 1 species
AACCCUCGCUGUGUGUUAGUAUGUGUCACACAGGACUGCUGGAUUAAGCCGGAGGAAGGUGGGACGACGUCAAGUCAGCAUGACCUUAUAUCCAGGGCUACACACACGCUACAAUGGUCAGUACAAUGGGUUGCCAAGCCGCGAGGCGGAGCCAAUCCUAAAAAGCUGGCCUCAGUUCAGAUUGCAGUCUGAAACUCGACUGCAUGAAGUCGGAGUUGCUAGUAAACGCAGGUCAGCUAUACUGCGUUGAAUACGUUCCCGGGGCUU